rnacentral:rRNA from 1 species
GAUGAAUGCUGGCGGCGUGCCUAACACAUGCAAGUCGAGCGGCAGCGAGGGGUGCUUGCACCCUGUCGGCGAGCGGCGAACGGCUGAGUAACGCGUAGGAAUUUGCCCCAAAGUGAGGAAUAACUGCCCGAAAGGGUAGCUAAUGCCGCAUAUGGUCUUCGGAUUAAAGGAUUUAUCCGCUUUGGGAGAAGCCUGCGUUGGAUUAGGUUGUUGGUAGGGUAAUGGCCUACCAAGCCGACGAUCCAUAGCUGGUCCGAGAGGAUGAUCAGCCAGACUGGAACUGAGACACGGUCCAGACUCCUACGGGAGGCAGCAGUGAGGAAUCUUCCACAAUGGGCGAAAGCCUGAUGGAGCAACGCCGCGUGAAGGAUGAAGGCCUUCGGGUUGUAAACUUCUUUUAUGAGUGAAGAAUAUGACGGUAACUCAUGAAUAAGCACCGGCUAACUACGCG